AGGACGAACGCUGGCGGCGUGCCUAACACAUGCAAGUCGAGCGAGAUCCAUCCAGUGGCAACACUGGUGAAGAUCUAGCGGCGAACGGGUGAGUAACACGUGAGAAACCUGCCCCGGAGACCGGGAUAACUCGAGGAAACUCGAGCUAAUACCGGAUACCCCCCACCGAACCGCAUGAUUUGGUGAGGAAAUGCUCCGACGCUCCGGGAGGGUCUCGCGGCCUAUCAGCUGGUUGGUGAGGUAACGGCUCACCAAGGCUAAGACGGGUAGCUGGUCUGAGAGGACGAUCAGCCACACUGGGACUGAGACACGGCCCAGACUCCUACGGGAGGCAGCAGUGGGGAAUCUUGCGCAAUGGGCGAAAGCCUGACGCAGCAACGCCGCGUGGGGAUGAAGGCUCGUCGGGUUGUAAACCCCUUUCGAGGAGGGACGAAAAUGACGGUACCUCCAGAAGAAGCCCGGCCAACUACGUACCAGCAGCCGC
rnacentral:rRNA from 1 species